ACCUGUCCUUCCCUGGACCGUGGCCCUCCAGGCAGUCCCAUGCAGGUGCCGGCUGAAAGCGGCUGGGGUAGAAACCAAGGACCAGGCUGGAAGAAACAGGGCCCCCAGGUGUUUCCAAAGGGGAGCUUGUUGGCUCAGCAGGCUUUUCAAAAUGCAGGUAUCUCUAGAGCUGUUUUGUGGACACCAGGAGCAUCACUGGACAAUCCCUGUGCUGGCCCCAGAGUAUCCUGUGCACCUGGAUGAGGCUGGAACACAUCGGGGGCAGGGCCGCAACACGUCCACUCCAGAACAGCGUGGGACCUGGGGAAAUUGCCAGUCAUUUGCUGUCCCAUCAUUGCUGUUCCACGCAUCCCUGACAACUCUGAGCAUGGGUUGUGGUGAGGUAGCAGCUGGGCAGGACCAGAAAUGUCCAUUUUUGACAUGGAGGCAGCAGACACCCAGGCUUGGGGUAGAAGUGAGGGCUCCAUACCAUUCCCAGUGACAGCUUCCCAUGGUGGAAACAGGCAGGAAUGUCUGGCAACCCACCAAGGGUCAGACGCCACGUCAGUCCGAGCAGAAGCUGCCUGACCCUGGCUGUUCCAAUGACAAUGAGACAUUCUUGGGGAGGUGGAGCCCUCUGUGGGAGCUCAGAAUGGGUGUCCUCUCGCAAUCACUGUGUUAGAGCUGCGGUUCUCAAUGCGGGCUGCAGUGCAGUUACCUGCGGAGCUUUAGGGCGCUCCCAGGGCUUGGCUCCCCGGACCAGGGCCUUGAGAACCUUCACAGCAGGGGUAGCCGGUGUUGAGAAGCGUGCCUGGGAGACC
rnacentral:lncRNA from 1 species